rnacentral:rRNA from 1 species
UAAAAAUGUAAAUAAAAAAAAUAGAGUAGUAAUAGAUACAUUCUUAAAACUUAAUAAAUUUGGCGGUAUUUUAAUCUAUUCAGAGGAACUUGUUUUAUAAUUGAUAAUCCUCAUUAGAUCUUACUUAAUUUUGUUAAAUUUGUAUAUCGUCGUCAUAAGAAUUUCUUAAAAAAGCAAAAAUUUUCUAAAAUUUUUAUUAAUAAUUAUGUCAGAUCAAGGUGCAGUUUAUGGUUAAGAAAAAAUGAGUUACAAUAAAUUUAUUUAUACGGUUUUAAAAAUGUAAUUUUUUAAAUAAGGUGGAUUUGAUAGUAAAAUAAAAAAUUAAAUUUUCAUUAUUUUAGUUCUAAAAUUUG